CCCCCUCAGGGGAGCACUGAAUUAAUCUGGGAUCUUUCUACUUUUUUAAGUCAGCAACUACUCUGACUCUUUUCCUUUGGUUCUCCACUGGAGCACUGGAUACUCGACUUCAGGUCUUCUCCAAUACCUCUUUUCAGGUUAUAGUUCUUGUCUCUUCACUUGCUGAGCAUAAGAACAGGAUCACGAAGGCUGGAAAAGACCACUACGACCACCUAGUCUUGCCAUCAACCCAUCCCCACCAAGACCACUAACUAUAUCCCUCAGUACCACAUCAGCACAGUUCUUGAAUACUUCUGCUGGGCUGCAUGCAAGGAUAAAUACAGAUAGAGGAGACAUUUCCUUUCCAGGACAGGGAAAAGAAACACGUCUAGGUAUUUGAAAGGUAUUUUGUUGGUGUUGGUAUUUUUUGCUGCCAGAGGGUUGUACUGCCCCUCCUUGCAAAUCUAAUACUAGAUGAAUGAUGAGCUAGGACUGUAUGCAGUUGGAAUGGUACAGGCUUGAAUAUUGCCAGAUCCAGUUUGUUCUUUCCAGAUUGCUAAAGCUUACUUUCAAAGGUCUCUCUAUUGGAGAUUUUCCAUUGUCUAUUUAAAUCUGCAGAUACAAUGAUAUCUUGCUGUCAAUUAAAUGAAAACAAAUUGCUGUUACUUUGUAAUUUAAGGAGGACCUUUCAAUAAAAAUAUGUUUACUAACAGUUACACAUACGGAAGCAUUUUAAAAAUACUUUAAGUACACUUCAAUUAACUAAAGGUGUGAAAUGAAGUUGCCUGUAUUCACUGCUUUCCCAGGAAGGCCUCAAAUUGCAAGGACUAUUAAGGUUGCUGGGCUGCUUUUGCACAUACAUGACCAAUAAAAUUAGGAACCUUAUCUCUGGGUAAAAAUCUUCCUAUUUUGGGGAAGGUUAGAAAAUUUUUUCAUCUAAGAAAUAUACAGUAUGAGUAGCUUAAGCAAAUAUUUAUCUAUUUAGAGUUGCAAUUAAGCACUCGUACUUGAAACACGCGCAUUGUUCUAGCCUUUUCAAGAAUUGUUUUAUACAGUAUACUCAUGUAUAGUGCAAGAAAUUUUGAAAACCUACUGUGGAUUCCCAAGAAAUACAAAAAAUGUCAGAAAAAAAUGCUAGUAAGGUUUAUGUAGUCAAAUUACAAAGAAAUAAAUUUGGUUUUGGUGGAAAAUACAUUCACACCAGGACACGUGAGUCUAUAAUUAUAAAUAUAAUCCCUGUACGGUUCAUGAAACUAAAAUAUUCAUGGGCGUACAACAGCAGUGCAAUAGUUUUAUGCAGAAAUAGAAGUGCAUUUCUACAUGCCGCUCUUCAUUUCACACCAGAAAAGCUGGCUAACUUAGUUUUGUACUGGGUGUCUGUGUUGUGGUAUUGUCGUUCCUUUCUUGAUACUUCUAAGCCCUUGGAAAUCACUGAGAUGAGUCACUGGAAGGAACUUUGAGCAUUUCUAAUAAUGGAAAUAUUGUCAAAAGAAGCAGAUUAUUUCUAAAUAUGUGUAAUUGCACUACACUAAAGUAAUUUUUUUUACACGAUAAAGUCAAACUAGCAUAAAAUAUAUAUUGCAAGAGAAGGGUAAUUUACUUCAGCUAUAAGACCUCUAGAAUGUAAAUCCCUUAAAUAGUAUAUUAUCGGUGGUCUUACAGUCACGGUCUCUACUUGUCUCUUUAGUCAUUUCACUUCACCACAAACUGACUUUGCUAUCUGUGAGAACUGAGCAGCUUCUGUUGAGUUUGUUCAAGCAUUUAAAUAAAAUUUAGAAGAAAAAGGCAUUGAAUUCAUGGUAUUUCAGGCAUUCUGGAAGCUAGAAGUGAGAUUACCAGAGGCUUUUUUUCCAUAAGCAGGACCAAAUGUGUGCCAAGAGAUUUGUAUCUUGAGAUGUUUCACAUAAUCAAGUUAUAUUAUUAUCAAAUAUUUCUCAGAAAAGCAGUAAUCUGGGAGGUUUCUUCCUCACUGUUAUUAACAGUGUUAGCUUGUACAUGUAACUGUUAUUUUUUUCUCCUUGUUGCACAUACAUUUUUGUACAC